CACGUAGGGCGCAAGCGUUGUCCGGAAUUAUUGGGCGUAAAGAGCUCGUAGGCGGUCUGUUGCGUCCGCUGUGAAAACCCGGGGCUUAACCCUGGGCUGGCAGUGGAUACGGACAGACUAGAGGUAGGUAGGGGAGAAUGGAAUUCCCGGUAUAGCGGUGAAAUGCGCAGAUAUCAGGAGGAACACCGAUGGCGAAGGCAGCUCGCUGGGACGGUACUGACGCUGAGACGCGAAAGCGUGGGGAGCGAACAGG
rnacentral:rRNA from 1 species